UACGAAGGGGGCUAGCGUUGUUCGGAUUUACUGGGCGUAAAGCGCACGUAGGCGGAUCGUUAAGUCAGGGGUGAAAUCCUGGAGCUCAACUCCAGAACUGCCUUUGAUACUGGCGAUCUUGAGUCCGGAAGAGGUGAGUGGAACUCCUAGUGUAGAGGUGGAAUUCGUAGAUAUUAGGAAGAACACCAGUGGCGAAGGCGGACUCACUGGUCCGGUACUGACGCUGAGGUGCGAAAGCGUGGGGAGCA
rnacentral:rRNA from 1 species